rnacentral:rRNA from 1 species
AUACGUAGGGGGCGAGCGUUGUCCGGAAUGAUUGGGCGUAAAGGGCGCGUAGGCGGCGCGGUAAGUCUGGAGUGAAAGUCCUGCUUUCAAGGUGGGAAUUGCUUUGGAUACUGCCGCGCUUGAGUGCAGGAGAGGUUAUCGGAAUUCCCGGUGUAGCGGUGAAAUGCGUAGAGAUCGGGAGGAACACCAGUGGCGAAGGCGGGUAACUGGACUGCAACUGACGCUGAGGCGCGAAAGUGUGGGGAGCAAACAGGAUUAGAUACCCUGGUAGUCCACACUGUAAACGAUGGAUGCUAGGUGUAAGAGGUAUCGACCCCUUUUGUGCCGGAGUCAACACAAUAAGCAUUCCGCCUGGGGAGUACGGCCGCAAGGUUGAAACUCAAAUGAAUUGACGGGG